rnacentral:rRNA from 1 species
UCGCGGCCUAUCAGCUUGUUGGUGAGGUAAUGGCUCACCAAGGCGACGACGGGUAGCCGGCCUGAGAGGGUGACCGGCCACACUGGGACUGAGACACGGCCCAGACUCCUACGGGAGGCAGCAGUGGGGAAUUUUCCGCAAUGGGCGAAAGCCUGACGGAGCAAUACCGCGUGAGGGAAGACUGCCUAUGGGUUGUAAACCUCUUUU